GAUGAACGCUGGCGGCGUGCCUAAUACAUGCAAGUCGAGCGAACAGACGAGAAGCUUGCUUCUCUGACGUUAGCGGCGGACGGGUGAGUAACACGUGGAUAACCUACCUAUAAGACUGGGAUAACUUCGGGAAACCGUAGCUAAUACCGGAUAAUAUUUUGAACCGCAUGGUUCAAUAGUGAAAGACGGUCUUGCUGUCACUUAUAGAUGGAUCCGCGCUGCAUUAGCUAGUUGGUAAGGUAACGGCUUACCAAGGCAACGAUGCGUAGCCGACCUGAGAGGGUGAUCGGCCACACUGGAACUGAGACACGGUCCAGACUCCUACGGGAGGCAGCAGUAGGGAAUCUUCCGCAAUGGGCGAAAGCCUGACGGAGCAACGCCGCGUGAGUGAUGAAGGUCUUCGGAUCGUAAAACUCUGUUAUUAGGGAAGAACAAAUGUGUAAGUAACUGUGCACAUCUUGACGGUACCUAAUCAGAAAGCCACGGCUAACUACGUG
rnacentral:rRNA from 1 species